CAAGGCACAGACGCCCAGCUUCCUCAGCCACGACCUAGGCACCGCAGUUCGCACUCACACGCACGCACGCGAGUCAGAGCGGAGCGACCGCGACAGCCGCCUCCCCUCAUGUUCGCCGCGCCACCGCCUGGCCGCCGGCGACUUCCCCCACGCCCCGUCCAGUCCCAGGGACUGCCUCGCUCCUUCCCGCUUGUCUCCCUGACAUAGCCCGGGGCCGUCGCUCUUCCUCAAUCCCCUGCUCGGCUGCUCCCCGCUGCUCAAGACUGUGGAUUGCCUGUCUGCCACUGUUGCUCUAGCCAGGCGACGCCGCCGCUCUAAUCCGGCCAUUGCCUGAAUCCGGAUUCCCCGUCUCCGCGCCGCCACUCUACUCUGGCCACUCCCCGACUCCGGACUACAAUUUAAUUGAUGUAUAGCCCAUAAAAUAGAAGAUAAGAUAUUUCUCAAGCCUAUAGGGAUCGCAGAGGGCUUCUACCUCCUCAUAGAGGUGUUGCUUCUUCUUCUGCCGCAGAUGAUGUUAUGGGAGGCACGAAUGAAAUAAACAACUGAUUUGGUACUCUUAUAUCCCUGUAUUAUUUCUGGUUUUAUCAUGUUUUAUCUCUUCUAUUGGAUUGUUAAGCACCAAGAUUAAAUUUUAGGAUUAUUGAACAACUGAAUUUAUUUUGUUUGUUAUUGCAUAUUAUCUUUUUUAAA